rnacentral:rRNA from 1 species
ACGGGUGAGUAAUGCCUAGGAAUCUGCCUGGUAGUGGGGGACAACGUUUCGAAAGGAACGCUAAUACCGCAUACGUCCUACGGGAGAAAGCAGGGGACCUUCGGGCCUUGCGCUAUCAGAUGAGCCUAGGUCGGAUUAGCUAGUUGGUGGGGUAAUGGCUCACCAAGGCGACGAUCCGUAACUGGUCUGAGAGGAUGAUCAGUCACACUGGAACUGAGACACGGUCCAGACUCCUACGGGAGGCAGCAGUGGGGAAUAUUGGACAAUGGGCGAAAGCCUGAUCCAGCCAUGCCGCGUGUGUGAAGAAGGUCUUCGGAUUGUAAAGCACUUUAAGUUGGGAGGAAGGGCAGUAAGUUAAUACCUUGCUGUUUUGACGUUACCGACAGAAUAAGCACCGGCUAACUCUGUGCCAGCAGCCGCGGUAAUACAGAGGGUGCAAGCGUUAAUCGGAAUUACUGGGCGUAAAGCGCGCGUAGGUGGUUCGUUAAGUUGGAUGUGAAAUCCCCGGGCUCAACCUGGGAACUGCAUCCAAAACUGGCGAGCUAGAGUAGGGCAGAGGGUGGUGGAAUUUCCUGUGUAGCGGUG